CUUUAAGGCCAGACAGAAUCUUGGGAAGGUUGCUGGUUGGAAUUCUGGGUUGCCUGAGUCAGUUGGUUUUCUAACUGCCAAGGAGUCCUGGACGUUUUUUUUCCUAGGUGGAGGUUGGCAUUUUGUUCCUUGGAACACUGAAAAAUCCCAGUGGUAGAUGAAGGAGAAGAACAGUAGAGACAUGGCUGGUGGUAGCGUGCUGUGCAUCUUGGUGUCUUGGAAUCUUGGUGUGCUGGUAGCUCUUGUCUGGGCUUGGCAUGAACAUGCUAGAUUGAAAAAAACACAGAAAACAAAAUUACCUUCUGAAGAUCAGAAGUGGAGACCAGGAGAAGCUAGUUAAUGGGAGAAGGAAGCUGGAGAUUUGAGAGGAUGCUCUAGGUUGGAGGUUCCAGACACAAUUUAAAGAUUCAGGGUGAAAUCACAAUGUAGAUAGUUAGCAGAAUUCAGAAAGCCAAAAAUCUAUUAAACUUUGAUAGUUCAAAU
rnacentral:lncRNA from 1 species